rnacentral:rRNA from 1 species
UACAGAGGGGGCCAGCGUUAUUCGGAAUUAUUGGGCGUAAAGGGCGCGUAGGCGGCUUUGCGUGUCUUUCGUGAAAUCCCUCGGCUCAACUGAGGACGUGCGGAAGAAACUGCAGGGCUGGAGUCCGGGAGAGGAGGGUGGAAUUCCCAGUGUAGCGGUGAAAUGCGUAGAUAUCGGAAGGAACACCGGUGGCGAAAGCGGCGCGCUGGACCUCUUCUGACGCUGAGGCGCGAAAGCCAGGGGAGCAAACGGG